rnacentral:miRNA from 1 species
CUUCAGGCUUUUCUCACACCUG